GCGCGAAACCUCCGCAAUGCGGGAAACCGCGACGGGGGGACCCCGAGUGCCGUGGCAACGCCACGGCUUUUCCGGAGUGUAAAAAGCUCCGGGAAUAAGGGCUGGGCAAGGCCGGUGGCAGCCGCCGCGGUAAUACCGGCGGCCCGAGUGGUGGCCGCUAUUAUUGGGCCUAAAGCGUCCGUAGCCGGGCCCGUAAGUCCCUGGCGAAAUCCCACGGCUCAACCGUGGGGCUUGCUGGGGAUACCGCGGGUCUUGGGACCGGGAGAGGCGGGGGGUACCCCUGGGGUAGGGGUGAAAUCCUAUAAUCCCAGGGGAACCGCCAGUGGCGAAGGCGCCCCGCUGGAACGGGUCCGACGGUGAGGGACGAAGGCCAGGGGAGCAAACCGGAUUAGAUACCCGGGUAGUCCUGGCUGUAAAGGAUGCGGGCUAGGUGUCGGGUGAGCCUCGAGCUCGCCCGGUGCCGUAGGGAAGCCGUUAAGCCCGCCGCCUGGGGAGUACGGCCGCAAGGCUGAAACU
rnacentral:rRNA from 1 species